rnacentral:rRNA from 1 species
GACGAACGCUGGCGGCGUGCCUAAUACAUGCAAGUCGAACGCACAGUUUAUACCGUUGCUUGAUGCACCAUAGACUGUGAGUUGCGAACGGGUGAGUAACGCGUAGGUAACCUGCCUGGUAGCGGGGGAUAACUAUUGGAAACGAUAGCUAAUACCGCAUAAUAUUUAUUAUUGCAUGAUAAUUAAUUGAAAGUUGCAAUUGCACCACUACCAGAUGGACUUGCGUUGUAUUAGCUAGUAGGUGAGGUAACGGCUCACCUAGGCGACGAUACAUAGCCGACCUGGGAGGGUGAACGGCCACACUGGGACGGGGACACGGCCCAGACCCCUACGGGAGGGAGCAGUAGGGAAGCUUCGGGAAAGGACGAAAGGCUGACCGAGCAACGCCGCGGGAGUGAAGAAGGUUUUCGGAUCGUAAAGCUCUGGUGUAAGAGAAGAACGGGUGUGAGAGUGGAAAGUUCACACUGUGACGGUAUCUUACCAGAAAGGGACGGCUAACUACGUG